rnacentral:lncRNA from 1 species
AAACAUUAUAUACAUGACUUUAUGCUAUAUUGUUCCUUAUUACUCAUUUUGCAUAGUUUAUUAUAAUUAUUUAACAUAAAUAUUUUUAUGUUGUAUUCUAUUUUAUAAUGCAAAACAAUAUUUUAAAAGAAGUUUCGUAAUGCUUAAUGUUUCUUGGUAGGAUUCAAGUAAAUAGCCUUUGGUAGGGCUUAAUAAUGUUUACAGCAUUGGGCAUGGUUUGCACAUAAGAUCUUGGCAUUUGAGAUUUCGUAAUCCCUGCUCAGCCCUUCUAAGGAAGGAAACCGCCUCUCAUAUUUUCUUUUGCCUAUUUGCCUAAUUUCUCCCUCAAAGAAAAGAAAAAGUAGGAGUUAAAGAAAAGGCAGAAGUGAAAUUCAAUAGUCAAACAACCCGGCACCACACCCCAGGCCUGGUAGUUAAAGAUCAACCCCUGACCUAAUCGCUUAUGUUAUAUAUAGAUUCCAGACAUUGUAUGAGGAAACAUUGUGUAACUCCCUGUUCGGUUCUGUUCUGUUCUGACCACCGGUGCAGACAGCCCCCGUCACGUAGUCCCCACUUGCACAAUGUAUCACGACCCUUUCAUGUGGACCCCUUAGAGUUGUAAGCCCUUAAAAGGGACAGGAAUCUUGACUUCAGGGAGCUUGGUUCUUGAGAUAUGAGUCUACCAAUGCUCCCAGCUAAUUAAAGCCUCUUCCUUCCUAAAACUGGUAUCCGAGAGGUUUUGUCUGUGACUGGUCCUGCUACAUUUCUUAGUUCACGCUACAUUUCUUAGUUCCCUGACCGGGAAGUGAGGUGAUUAACGGAUGGUCAAGGCAGCCCCUUAGGCAGCUUAGGCCUGUCCUGUGGAGCAUCCCUGUGGGGGACUCCAGCCCUGUGACACGGAUCCUGAGAGCACUCCCAGUAGGCCAUCGCCCAGGUGGAAUGCUUUGCCAGAGCAGUGCGCGGCAGACCCCCAUGGAGGAUUAACACAGCGGCUGAACACUGGGAAGGAAUCCGUGCUUGGAGUCCUGACAUCUGGAACAUGGGUCAAGCUCUGUCUCAAACAGUGAGGAGCGCAGUGCAGUUGAGUGCACUGGUGCAAACACAGCUCACUGCAGCCUCGACCUCCUGAGCUCAAGCGAUCCUCCCACCUCAGCCUCCAGAGUAUCUGGGACUACAGGUGUACACCACCAUGCCUGGCUAAUUUUUUGUAUUUCUGUAGAGACGGGGUCUCACUAUGUCGUUCAGGCUGCUUGGGUGGUUUCAUUUGUACUACAAAAGUAAAUAUUGAAAAAUUUGUGACAUAGAAAAUAGAAAUAAACACCAUGAGACUCUGGUGCAACUCACUGGACAAUGACACAGAGCUUCUGAUUGCAAAGUCUGCCGAUUCUUUGUCUUAGGCACUCUGUCACCAAAGCAGCAGCUCAAUGGGGCUGCACCAAGGCCCCCAUCCCCACUGCACUGCAACCUUGCCCCCUUGCAACUCUCUAGGCUUCCCUUUGCUGUGUGCAAGACUACCUGUCAACCUGUUCCUCCUCACAGGGGCCUUUAUACACCCACCGGAGGCCCGGCCUCGCCACUCGGGAAGUGCCCUGGCAGAGAAGAUAGCACUUACCCAGUUGACUAUGGGUCUGGCUUUCAUCCUCCAUUGUAGCUAAGUACCUGUCUCUGAAAUUAAAACAGUUUGGUGGAUUCUCUCCCCAGGUUUUAUAUUCUUCCAGGAUUGGGCACUGUCACUGCACUCUGGAAACCUCUGUGAACCUGGUCUGGUCUUGUCUGCACACAAACAGAAAUGGCUAGAUGGAACCAAGGCCAACGGAAAGGGUUUGGCCAAGCCCCAAAGAAAAUAAAACGAUUCGACCCCAAGGAGGCAGACAGUCCUGAUUCCGGGCACACGAGGUAAACGCCAAAUGGAAAUCCAACUGUUGCGGAGAGUGAUUGCUCAGAUGGGGCAAAUGUGCUGUGAAAUCAGCCCUUGGAAAAUCAUCUGGCGUUCAUCUUAGUGAAAUCCAAAAACAAUGACUGCCUCCCCCAGCCUGCUCCAGAGGGAGCCUCAGGAGCUCCCCUCGUCGAAGCCCGGAAAG